rnacentral:rRNA from 1 species
UACGAGUGCCUCAAGCGUUAUCCGGAAUCAUUGGGCGUAAAGGGUGUGUAGGUGGUUCUGUUAGUCUCACGUUUAAAUUUUGCGGCCUAACCGUAAGCAUGCGUGGGAAACGGCAGGACUUGAGGGUGCAAGGGGUCUCUGGAACUCUAGGUGUAGCGGUGAAAUGCGUUGAUAUCUAGGGGAACACCAAAAGCGAAGGCAAGAGACUAGGGCAUUCCUGACACUGAAACACGAAAGCGUGGGUAGCGAAUGGG